rnacentral:rRNA from 1 species
UACGUAGGGGCAAGCGUUAUCCGGAUUUACUGGGUGUAAAGGGUGCGCAGGCGGGGGAUUAAGUCGGCGGUGAAAUUUUGCAGCUCAACUGUAAAAGUGCCUUCGAAACUGGUUUCCUUGAGUGUAGAUGAAGUAGGCGGAAUUUGUGGUGUAGCGGUGAAAUGCUUAGAUAUCACACAGAACACCGAUUGCGAAGGCAGCUUUCCAAACUAUCACUGACGCUGAGGCACGAAAGCGUGGGGAGCAAACAGGAUUAGAUACCCGCGUAGUCCCU